GACGUAGGGGACGAGCGUUGUCCGGAUUCAUUGGGCGUAAAGCGCGCGUAGGCGGUUUGGUAAGUCGAAUGUGAAAACUCCAGGCUCAACCUGGAGCCUGCAUUUGAUACUGGUAUGGCUAGAGUCCGGUAGGGGACCACGGAAUUCCUGGUGUAGCGGUGAAAUGCGCAGAUAUCAGGAGGAACACCGAUGGCGAAGGCAGCUCGCUGGGACGGUACUGACGCUGAGGCGCGAAAGCGUGGGGAGCGAACAGG
rnacentral:rRNA from 1 species